CGUCCUCCCUGUGGUCUGGUCACGGACAUGCUGGAAGGGAAUUCCUAGGUAGAUGGCAGGAAGAAGAGAAAACUGAUGAAUCCAACACAUUUAAUAGGCCAGGAAUGAAAGACACCCCCUCUCCUCCCGGGACACCCUCGCCAACUUCUGCUUUGAUCCUCUCAGUCAAGUUGAGAGAAGCUACUUCAGCUGCUUCCAACCUCUCCUGCCAAGUGGGCCCAUAGAUGCUUCAGGAAGGUACUCAGACUUCCUGGGCAGACGAGA